rnacentral:tRNA from 1 species
AGGCAAGUAAGUUAAUUUAAACUACGGGGUUCAUGUCCCCAUAAUAUGUUUUUCAUCUUGCUAA